CCUUGCUCAGAGCAAACCCGUCGAAAGGCGGGGGCGCAGAGCCCCGAGGCUAACCCUCCUUUCCCUCCGGGAUGGAGAAUGCCAGUCGAGCCGCCAGG
rnacentral:ncRNA from 1 species